rnacentral:rRNA from 1 species
AGAGGACCGGAAAGAAGGAAUCCCUGGUGUACCGGUUGUCCUAAAAGGGCAUCGCCGGGUAGCUAUAUUCCUAAGGGAUAAGCACUGAAAGCAUCUCAAGUGCGAAGCCCCCUCCAAGAUGAGAAAUCCCAAUUAGUCUGCAGGAAGAUUACCUGCUUCGUCCAUAGGACGAUCAGCCUCUGGCUGAGAUAGGCUCUAAGUGUAAGUGCAGCAAUGUAUUUAGCUGAGGAGUACUAACUGAC